rnacentral:rRNA from 1 species
AGAGUUUAAUCCUGGCUCAGAUUGAACGCUGGCGGCAUGCCUUACACAUGCAAGUCGAACGGCAGCACGGAGCUUGCUCUGGUGGCGAGUGGCGAACGGGUGAGUAAUAUAUCGGAACGUACCCUAGAGUGGGGGAUAACGUAGCGAAAGUUACGCUAAUACCGCAUACGAUCUAAGGAUGAAAGUGGGGGAUCGCAAGACCUCAUGCUCGUGGAGCGGCCGAUAUCUGAUUAGCUAGUUGGUAGGGUAAAAGCCUACCAAGGCAUCGAUCAGUAGCUGGUCUGAGAGGACGACCAGCCACACUGGAACUGAGACACGGUCCAGACUCCUACGGGAGGCAGCAGUGGGGAAUUUUGGACAAUGGGCGAAAGCCUGAUCCAGCAAUGCCGCGUGAGUGAAGAAGGCCUUCGGGUUGUAAAGCUCUUUUGUCAGGGAAGAAACGGUGAAAGCUAAUAUCUUUUGCUAAUGACGGUACCUGAAGAAUAAGCACCGGCUAACUACGUGCCAGCAGCCGCGGUAAUACGUAGGGUGCAAGCGUUAAUCGGAAUUACUGGGCGUAAAGCGUGCGCAGGCGGUUUUGUAAGUCUGAUGUGAAAUCCCCGGGCUCAACCU